ACAGAAUAAAGACACCGAUGAAAAGGGAGGGGUGGGAGAAGCUGAACACAGACCACAGGGGGAGCUGCUAGCAGUGCUGCACCCCUUCCCAAACAUGGCCGCUUUUUGAGACUGAACUAGCUGUGGGCUUUGAAGCAAAAGCCCUAUGAAGAAGGCAUAACAAGACUUUACCACAGAGGCUACGAAUAAUACCUUUGAUCCACUGAGCACCUACUCUGUGCCAGCCCCUGGGCAGGAACUGGCAUGCAUGGGCAUGUAUGAUUGCACCAGAAAUAAGUUCUAUCAUUGGCCCUGUUUACUCAUGAACACAUGAAGCUUGCUAUGAAAGUUUAAGACACCCAAGGCCACAAGGCAGUCCCGUGGCCAUGCCAAACCAGCCUGCAGCAGAGCAGGAAUGCCAACCCCAGGUCUGUGCUUGAGCUCCUGUACCUCUGUCUCUGUGGCAGCACGAACAGGUGUCCCAUAACCAGGACAGAUCACCUGGAUGCCUGCCUGCCCUGAUAACUGAUGUUGAAGGUCAGUUGACCCAUCUCACCUCCUCCAGGAAGCCUCGCUGCUCCAGCCCUCCCACACUGCCAGGCCUCCAACCACCAGCCCUGGCUCUUACAACCUGGACAAUCUUGCUUUUUUCUGGCCCUGGAACUUUGCCCGCAAGACCACGCCUCAGGGUGGAAAAUGAAAGAUGCUUAAGGUCACUGCCCCUCCUGUUCUGUACACAAGCCUAAGCUCGGGAGGAAAUAAUUUGAGGUAUCUGGAAGAAGCAGAGAGAGCAGGGCAGCUCUGAAGUCACUGCGAGGCUGUGAGAGGUCAGCCAGCGCUUCAAAGGACCCCAGGACCUUUGCAUAACCCUGGACUGAAUGGGAAGGGAAAGUCCCAGUCAUGACAGAAACGGAAUUUCCCACCAACUCAGUAGGAGGUUUGGGGUUCAGGGUCAGUUUCAUGGCAGUGCAAACAAAAUAAAGAAAAUGUGAUAUUUAUUGCUUACUUAAAUUUGUGGACCAAACUGCCUACCAUGCUAUCCACACUGUUUCCUGCAGGUGGUCAAUGUGGGCUUAAGGGAAAAGUAACUCAUCUUAAUAUUUGCUUAAAUCAAAUGGAAUAUAGAAAGUAAAUAAAUCUGCUGCCAAGCCAUCAAGUAGGGCAUUCUAAACCCAAAAUAAAGAGCCUAUGGACUGUCUGUGGAUUUAGAUUAUGCAUAGUUUUCUGCCACCACUCCCUGUAUUCAAAUCAAUAGUCACAUUUCAUUGCAGACACUUGGAGCUGUCUGGGUUCAAAUCCCAGCUCUGUUGCUUAUUAGCUGAGACACUUCAGCCAAGGUACUGACACUCUCUGUGCCUCAAUUUCCCCAGCCAUUAAGUAGGAGUCAUAAUUGCAUAACCCCCACAGGGUGGAUGUGACAAUUCAACCGGAUCACAAAAGUGCAUGCUCAGCCUAGUGCCUGGCACACUGUAAGGAUCAAUAAACAGGAGCUAUUAUUAUUAUGCUAAUUUGAAGGAUUCUUGUUUUUAAACGUCCUCAUUUCACAUUGCAGAUACCCAAAUAGAAACACAGAUUUUCAUUUGCUUACAAACCUUCCACUUUUCUCCAGCUAGAAGUUACAGGUGGCCCCUAUGGGUGAAUGUGUUAGGUAACACUCACACUUUAAGCAAGGGGAAAUGCAGGCCCAGAGAGAGU
rnacentral:lncRNA from 10 species